GGAAGGAGAGACAAAAAAAGAAGGAAUGUGACAGGUGCCAGAUUCCUCGCAGGUAACUGCAGUGGCGACCCAACCCCCUGUUGCAGUGUGGCUCACUAUUUGUUUCCAGCCCAGUGGGAGCAUCAAAAGUCUCCUUCACUCAUCUAUCAAUACUGUGUCUGCAGCAAGAGACUCAAACAGCUGGGUUGAUUUGCUGACAUGCCCUUAUGCUGAUGGGCAGGGUGUUUUUGUAACGACAAGGUUUAACAGGAAGUGCGUUUUGACUGGUGGAAACACUGCUGUUACAAGCCUGAAACAAUGGACAUCCCUGGGAGCCAGUGCAAUGUAGAAACAAACAGACUGAUGUCUUCUUUUUAUGCUAGGUAUUACUGUAUCGGUUAUUAUUUGUCAAAUCCUUUGGUAUUUAAAAGAAGGUUACACAUGUAAAAAAGAAGAAAAGUCUAUAUUUAUUAAUAUAGUUGGACCAGAGAACACCUUGUGGACUUGAUGUGCAACUUCUUUGUACAUGCGAUAAGGAAAUGUCUCCCUCUAGUGUUUAUGGAAAGUGUUUUUAAACCUCUAUAUUAAAGUAUUUUGCAA